GCCCAAGCUCGCCAGGCAGGAAAUGUGUCUUUUUCGUCCUUGCGGGACCCCAGAUGUCUCCAGACACCCAGACUCAGUGCCUUUUUCUUAGCUGCUGUCAAAAGUUGGAACCUGGCAAGAUCAACGACUUUUUGCCAGCUCAGAAUUCACUCCUGUUCCAGUCCCUCUCCCUAGAUGAACGUUGAUUGGCAGCCUUGAUCCACAAUCUCUCACCAUCUUCUGAGAGUAAGACUCACGCAGCCUCAGCACCACAACUAAGAGACAAAAGGUUCAUUGGAAUUUCCAGCUCCUCAGAUUUCUCCCUUCAGUUCUUCAGAGCAUCUGUGAGUCUGGAGUUCUGUCACUGAAGUCAUAUGGUCAGUAUAAAUGGUGAGGAGUCACCAAAAAACCAUAUAUUUCUCAGAUCCAGUGAAACCCUGUGAAAAGACCAUGCCCUGACCCCUAAAUUAAAAUCAGAAACAGA